rnacentral:rRNA from 1 species
CAGCCGCCGCGGUAAUACGAAGGGGGCUAGCGUUGCUCGGAAUGACUGGGCGUAAAGGGCGCGUAGGCGGCGAUCAAAGUCAGGCGUGAAAUUCCUGGGCUCAACCUGGGGGCUGCGUUUGAUACUUGGUUGCUAGAGUGAGGAAGAGGGUCGUGGAAUUCCCAGUGUAGAGGUGAAAUUCGUAGAUAUUGGGAAGAACACCGGUGGCGAAGGCGGCGACCUGGUCCUUGACUGACGCUGAGGCGCGAAAGCGUGGGGAGCAAACAGGAUUAGAUACCCCGGUAGUCCCUGUCUCUUAUAA